AGUCAACCUGCCCUUGGGUCGAGAACAAUCUCGGGAAACUGAGGCUAAUUCUCGAUAAAUCAAGAUUCCUGGAAUGGGUUUUGGUCGAAAUGGCGUAACAGCAUCUUGUUAUUUUCGCCCAAGGAUGGGACUGCGGCCGAUCAGGCUGUUGGUGGGGUAAAGGCCCACCAAACCAGUAACCGGUACGGGCUUUGAGAGAAGGAGCCCGGAGAUGGACACUGAGACAAGGGUCCAGGUCCUACGGGGCGCAGCAGGCGCGAAACCUUCGCAAUGCGCGCAAGCGCGACGAGGUUAUUCCGAGUGAUUUCCGCUGAGGAAAUCUUUUCUUAGAUCUAAAAAGUCUGGGGAAUAAGGGGAGGGCAAGUCUGGUGUCAGCCGCCGCGGUAAUACCAGCUCCUCGAGUGGUCAGGGCGUUUAUUGGGCCUAAAGCAUCCGUAGCCGGCUCAUUAGGUCUCCUGUUAAAUCCAACGGCUCAACCGUUGGUCUGCAGGAGAUACCGAUGGGCUAGGAGGCGGGAGAGGCGGACGGUACUCCGAGGGUAGGGGUAAAAUCCUUUGAUCCCCGGAAGACCACCAGUGGCGAAGGCGGUCCGCCAGAACGCGCUCGACGGUGAGGGAUGAAAGCUGGGGGAGCGAACCGGAUUAGAUACCCGGGUAGUCCCAGCUGUAAACGAUGCGAGCUAGGUGACACAAGGCCUUCGGGGCCUUGUGGUGCCGCAGGGAAGCCGUUAAGCUCGCCGCCUGGGGAGUACGGACGCAAGUCUGAAACU
rnacentral:rRNA from 1 species